rnacentral:rRNA from 1 species
GUUUCGUAACGGGAGUAAUGCAGAGCUUGCUCCCUGAUGUUAGCGGCGGACGGGUGAGUAACACGUGGGUAACCUGCCUGUAAGACUGGGAUAACUCCGGGAAACCGGGGCUAAUACCGGAUGGUUGUUUGAACCGCAUGGUUCAAACAUAAAAGGUGGCUUCGGCUACCACUUACAGAUGGACCCGCGGCGCAUUAGCUAGUUGGUGAGGUAACGGCUCACCAAGGCAACGAUGCGUAGCCGACCUGAGAGGGUGAUCGGCCACACUGGGACUGAGACACGGCCCAGACUCCUACGGGAGGCAGCAGUAGGGAAUCUUCCGCAAUGGACGAAAGUCUGACGGAGCAACGCCGCGUGAGUGAUGAAGGUUUUCGGAUCGUAAAGCUCUGUUGUUAGGGAAGAACAAGUACCGUUCGAAUAGGGCGGUACCUUGACGGUACCUAACCAGAAAGCCACGGCUAACUACGUGCCAGCAGCCGCGGUAAUACGUAGGUGGCAAGCGUUGUCCGGAAUUAUUGGGCGUAAAGGGCUCGCAGGCGGUUUCUUAAGUCUGAUGUGAAAGCCCCCGGCUCAACCGGGGAGGGUCAUUGGAAACUGGGGAACUUGAGUGCAGAAGAGGAGAGUGGAAUUCCACGUGUAGCGGUGAAAUGCGUAAAGAUGUGGAGGAACACCAGUGGCGAAGGCGACUCUCUGGUCUGUAACUGACGCUGAGGAGCGAAAGCGUGGGGAGCGAACAGGAUUA